rnacentral:ncRNA from 1 species
GGAAGGGUCACGGUGGCCGCCUGAAUUACAAUUCCGAUCGAGCGGCGAGCUGAAUCCUUUGCAGACGACUUAAAUACGCGACGGGGUAUUGUAAGGGGUAGAGUGGCCUUGCUGCCACGAUCCUCUGAGAUUCAGCCCUUUGUCGCUCCGAUUCGU